rnacentral:rRNA from 1 species
GUCCUGCGUUUUGUUAGGGAAGAACAAGUGCCGUUCAAAUAGGGCGGCACCUUGACGGUACCUAACCAGAAAGCCACGGCUAACUACGUGCCAGCAGCCGCGGUAAUACGUAGGUGGCAAGCGUUGUCCGGAAUUAUUGGGCGUAAAGGGCUCGCAGGCGGUUUCUUAAGUCUGAUGUGAAAGCCCCCGGCUCAACCGGGGAGGGUCAUUGGAAACUGGGGAACUUGAGUGCAGAAGAGGAGAGUGGAAUUCCACGUGUAGCGGUGAAAUGCGUAGAGAUGUGGAGGAACACCAGUGGCGAAGGCGACUCUCUGGUCUGUAACUGACGCUGAGGAGCGAAAGCGUGGGGAGCGAACAGGAUUAGAUACCCUGGUAGUCCACGCCGUAAACGAUGAGUGCUAAGUGUUAGGGGGUUUCCGCCCCUUAGUGCUGCAGCUAACGCAUUAAGCACUCCGCCUGGGGAGUACGGUCGCAAGACUGAAACUCAAAGGAAUUGACGGGGGCCCGCACAAGCGGUGGAGCAUGUGGUUUAAUUCGAAGCAACGCGAAGAACCUUACCAGGUCUUGACAUCCUCUGACAAUCCUAGAGAUAGGACGUCCCCUUCGGGGGCAGAGUGACAGGUGGUGCAUGGUUGUCGUCAGCUCGUGUCGUGAGAUGUUGGGUUAAGUCCCGCAACGAGCGCAACCCUUGAUCUUAGUUGCCAGCAUUCAGUUGGGCACUCUAAGGUGACUGCCGGUGACAAACCGGAGGAAGGUGGGGAUGACGUCAAAUCAUCAUGCCCCUUAUGACCUGGG